CGCCGCCCGGCCUCACUCCGCGGCCCGCCAGGACCCGGCCCCGGUGAACGGGCUCGGGGUGCCGAGGUCCGGCUGCGGGGCCGGGAAGCCACCUCCACCUUGCCGUCUGUUACGACCCCCGAGGCGCAAGGCUGAGCCCCAUCUCGCUAUCCGGGUCCGGAGGGGUUCACCUUAGAAGGAUUUUUUGAAGCUCUUGGCGCUGGCUCUAAAAGAACCCACUUCCUUGCGGAUUUCAGGAGUCAAGAAUCCUUAAACGGAGCCAAUUUGCUUUGUAAAGCCAAUUGCCCAAGUGACUUGAGUUCGAAAGGAGAUACUUCCUGGACAACUGCUAUAAAAACAACAACAAAUACUUUUAUUAAUUCGGGGAGCCUGGUCACCAACUGGAUGCUCAGAUGGAACCCUGAGCAGCCCAUGUACAUGGAAGAUCUUUAUUGCAGAGAUCUUCAAACCAGGAAACUGAGGCUAAAGAGUUUAGUAUUCUGCCAAGGCCAGCUAAUAGUUACAGAGCAUGGUUCCAAAUUCAGAGCUGUCGGAAGCUUAAGCCCAUGUGAUGAACCACGAAUGUGAUUUUACCUCAUUUAAGCCUUGCAGCAAACUCUGCCAAGCUGUCUCUACCAGGCCAGAAUUUGGGGCAGGCAAGAUUUUCAGCAUCCCUAAAAUCACACUAAGAAGAUAAACAUGGAAACAGCUUGGAGCUGCCCUACCCAUAGUGAGGUGGUACUGACUGGAAGACAGCUUAAACGAUUUGGAGAAAAGUGGAAUACAUUAAUCUCAGAAAACUCUACCACCUGUAGAAAGAGAGCUAAAAUGGAGACAACCACAGGCAGUCUAAGAUACGCUGAACUACUACAGAAAAUAAUGCAGCAUGAAGGAAUGCUGGAAGGUAUGGGGUCAGAGCAAGCUGAUGGAGGGUCCUUCAUUUCCAAGCCACGAGUACAGCAGGAUGUAAGGCUUAGUUCAUAAGAACAUCUCCUGAAAGACAAUCUCUAUAAAAACUGUUUCAAUAGAAAGAAUGCAAGAUGUAACUGUUUAAUAAUAGGACUGAUAUUUUAAAAAACAAAUGAACGUAAUAGAAGACUAGAUGGAUGUGCUUCUCAAAGUCCUCUCUGUGGGAGGCUUCAUCCUCACUCUAGAUGUGUUGCCUGUAGCAGCUGUUAUUGAUUACCCGCCCAUAGCCUAUCCAUACUUACUCAUCAUUCCUUUACCUACCAGUGGCAUCCUAUUGGAAGCACCUGCGACUUUCUUAGGGCUUUCUCUUGGCCAAGCAUUGGAAGGCCAGCAGUAUUGAAAAGUUAAUAGUCUUGGAAGCACUGGCCCUCAACUAAUGACAAAGAAAAAAUAUAAGAUAAAUUCCCCAGCUUCCUUGCCUCCUGAAUGGGUCAAGUCUGUGGUGUGUUCUACCCGUUUUUCAGAGGUCCCAUGUUUUAAACCCUAGCUGCUCAAGGCAAUUUCCUGAUCAUUGAUGUACUCUCUAUUGGCUAAUUUUUAGAUAAUAUGGAAUAUGCUCAAAAUAGGAUACUCAAAGAAAAAAUCAGAUGCCAAAAUUAUGUACACCGAAUGAGUUCAAUUCUGUAUAAGUGUGGACAUACACACAUCAAAAGAAAUAUGGAACAAAAGAUACUAAAUGUUUAUAGUGGUUAUUUCUGGGUGUUGAAAUUUUAAGUGAUUUUCCUUUUCUUCUUUGUAAUUGUCUCUAUUUUUCAGUUUUUUCAAUAUACCCUGUAUUUCUUUUAAAA
rnacentral:lncRNA from 1 species